rfam:Glycine soja cultivar W05 scaffold445_3, whole genome shotgun sequence.
UUCUUAUUGAAUGAUGACUGUCACGUGUUAUAUUCUGUUUGGUUAAUGAAAACAACGAUGUAUUUCAUCUUUUAAUUAAACUGAAGAUAAGAUGGGAGACCAAAAAUAC